GGAAAAUGUAAUAACUAUUAGUAAAUAUUACAUAUCUAACAGGAAAACUUGCGGUUAUUAUUGCUUCUAUACCGUUGCCAAUUGUGGGGGCUCUAUACAUUGCUUUCUUCCCCUAUGUGGUGGCAGGAGGUGUUGAUGAUUUCAUCUUAUGCGAAUUGAAAAGCUUAAGGCCAAAGGCUCUUUUGGGUUUUUCCCUCUUUAUGGGUCUCUCUGCGACUCAGUAUUUCGGUGACUAUGAUUUAUUUUCGACAAAUGGCCUUCCUCAAACCAGCACUAAUUGGUUCAAAAUCAUACUGGAGGUUAUUUUGUCAUCUCCAGCAACAUUUGGCACUAUCAUAGCUUUCCUUUUUCAUUGCACAUCUAAACCACCACCAUCAACCAAGGAGGUGCCGACAGUGGGAUCACCCAAGAAGGCAGAUUUAAAUGUACUAACACUCGUGAAGGCGAAGGAGAAGAAGGCAGAAGAUGAGGAGGAGGAGCUGAAGAAAAAAAUCCGACUUGAGAUUAAACAAACCUAUAAACGGCCUUCUA